AGUAUCUUGACUGUACAAAGGUAGCAUAAUCAUUAGUUUUUUAAUUGAAAGCUGGAAUGAAUGGCUGAAUAAGGAAAUGACUGUCUCUUUUUAAUUAAGUUGAACUUUAUUUUUAAGUUAAAAAGCUUAAAUUUAAUAAAAAGACGAGAAGACCCUAUAGAGUUUAAUAGGUUUAUAUUUUUAUAAUUUAGGAUUUUAUUAUAUAAUAAUGUUAACUUAUUUAGUUGGGGUGACUAUAGAAUUUAAUAAACUUCAUUUUUGUAAUCAUUGAUUUAUGAAUAAAUGAUCCUAGUGUUUAGAUUAAAAGAAUAAAUUACCUUAGGGAUAACAGCGUAAUUUUUUUGGAGAGUUCUUAUCGAUAAAAGAGAUUGCGACCUCGAUGUUGGAUUAAAGUUUAUUUUUGGUGCAGAAGCUAAAAUAUUAAGUCUGUUCGAC
rnacentral:rRNA from 1 species